GGAAGCGUGGCAGAGCGGCCGAAUGCACCCGCCUUGAAAGCGGGCGUCCGAAAGGACCGGGGGUUCGAAUCCCCCCGCUUCCGCAA
rnacentral:tRNA from 1 species